rnacentral:sRNA from 1 species
UUAGUAUGCGGACGAAGGCGGCGGGCUGCGCGGAGCGGCGUCCCCUGCAGCCGCGGACCGAGGCAGCGGCGGCACCUGCCGGCCGAGCAAUGCCAAGUGAGUACACCUAUGUGAAACUGAGAAGUGAUUGCUCGAGGCCUUCCCUGCAAUGGUACAGCCGAGCUCAAAGCAAGAUGAGAAGGCCCAGCUUGUUAUUAAAAGACAUCCUCAAAUGCACAUUGCUUGUGUUUGGAGUGUGGAUCCUUUAUAUCCUCAAGUUAAAUUAUACUACUGAAGAAUGUGACAUGAAAAAAAUGCAUUAUGUGGACCCUGACCGUGUAAAGCUAAAGACCUUAUCUCCCUGCGGACGGCAUUGCGUCCAGUUAAUUAUGGCCAGAUGGACUCAGCCGCUUCUUUAUCGUCUUCUCUCGGACUCUGCAGACCUACACCGUGUCUUUAAAGGAAGCAGGGCCCUCCCUGCUGAAGCAUUCAGUGAGCCCAGGCACCAGCACCUUCAAACCCAGUCUUUUCUCUCCUUAGUGCUGCUCCCCAUUUUCCAGGCCUUCCUGGGAUAUCUUAGAGCUCCUGAAGGUGGGGCGCUCCCCUCGAGGCAUUUUCUUCUGAGCUGUGAGCCACGGGCAAGCGGUGGAGAGGGAGGAGAGCAGCUGAGACAGAUGCCAGUUCAACUCAUUUAAAGAUGUGGGACAAGCUCUGAGGAAGCCCCCAAGACAACGAUAUCUGGUUGUGCACCAUUGAAGCAAGAACAGAAACCAUCCAGAGUGGAAGACGUGGCCCAUGUGGUCCUCGUGUUCUGAGUGGCUGUGAGAUGGAGUUCCGUGUGAGCUCUCUACAGAAAAAGCCCUGUCUCCAGGCAGUCAGUGGAGAUUUGUU